UACGGGGGGGGCAAGCGUUGUUCGGAAUUACUGGGCGUAAAGGGCUCGUAGGUGGCCAACUAAGUCAGACGUGAAAUCCCUCGGCUUAACCGGGGAACUGCGUCUGAUACUGGAUGGCUUGAGUUCGGGAGAGGGAUGCGGAAUUCCAGGUGUAGCGGUGAAAUGCGUAGAUAUCUGGAGGAACACCGGUGGCGAGGGCGGCAUCCUGGACCGGCACUGACACUGAGGAGCGAAAGCCAGGGGAGCAAACGGG
rnacentral:rRNA from 1 species